CAGCACAGGACAGCAGCCUGCGAGCGCGGGAGUUAAGAAAAUUGAAACGGACUCUCGGGCCUUGGGAAACUCGUGGGCUCGUGGUACGUACCAUCAAAGUGGGCCGAACUCAACUUCCGCCCACGGGAGCUCCCCCAAGGAAAAAAUAAUAAUAUCACGGGAGCUAAUAAGUGCCGGCGAUAUGAGCUCGUUUUAAGCUCCUGAAGAAAAAAAAACUCCGGUCUGCAGGCAUCGCUCAAAUAUAGUGUAUGACUUGUGGACCUUCCUUCGAAGCGUAAAACAGAAUUAGGAACCACUAGUCUUCCCCUGAUGAGCAAAUCAAGCAAGAGAUGUUAGAGUAAAGCAAAGCAUACUACUCCAUGAGCGGAAUCCUGUAAUAAUAAUAAUACGGAGUGCUGUAAUAAAAUGAUGAUGACAUGGAUCUCGAUGCGGCGCAAUCAACACCAGGAAUCCCUGAUGAGGAUCGAUCGACGGUCGACGUGGGCCUAGAGAGGCAACGUGCACGUGCGGCCUGCCCUACCGUUGCUUGCAACGCGUCAAUCCACGGAGCUUCCCGACGUUGCAUCAAGUAGGAGUAGGUAAUUUUCUGUAUCUUUGGCCCAUCCAUCGGGUGUCGAUAAAAGUUGAGAAAAACAAAAGCUGGAUAUUUUUACCGUUCGCUUUCAGUCAUUGCAUCAGUUCGUAAAGUCUUCACAGAAACGUACUCCGUUUCAUAAUUUUUGUCUCAAAUUUAAAAAAUAAAAUAAAAUAUUUAAUCUUAAAAACGUCUAAAUACAUGUAAUAUUCAACAAGAAUUAUGUAAUGGAGGAAGUGUAGUGAAAGAAAGAGAAAUGAAAGCGCC
rnacentral:lncRNA from 1 species